rnacentral:rRNA from 1 species
GACGUAGGGGGCGAGCGGUGUCCGGAGUUACUGGGCGUAAAGCGCUUGUAGGCGGUCCACCAAGUUUGGGGUGACAGUUGCCGACUUAAUCGGCAAAGUGCCUCAAAGACUGGCGGACUUGAGGGCCACAGAGGGACAUGGAACUCCAGGUGUAGUGGUGAAAUGCGUAGAUAUCUGGAAGAACACCAAAGGCGAAGGCAGUGUCCUGGGUGGUCGCUGACGCUGAGACGCGAAAGCGUGGGGAGCGAACAGG